rnacentral:tRNA from 1 species
AGUCUUAUAUUCAAUAAUGAUAUUAGAUUGCAAAUCUAAAGGUAAAGUAAUUUUUUAAGGCUU